AUUGAACGCUGGCGGCAGGCCUAACACAUGCAAGUCGAACGAGUGGCGGACGGGUGAGUAAUGUCUGGGAAACUGCCCGAUGGAGGUGGAUAAAUACUGGACACGCUAGCUAAUACCGCAUACCAUCGGAUGUGCCCCGGUGGGCUUAGCUUGUAGGUGAGGUAACUGCUCACCUAGGCGACGCUCCCUAGCUGGUCUGAGAGGAUGACCAGCCACACUGGAACGGAGACACGGUCCAGACUCCUACGGGAGGCAGCAGUGGGGAAUAUGGCACAAUGGGCGAAAGCCUGAUGGAGCAAGGCCGCGUGUAUGAAGAAGGCCUUCGGUUUGUAAAAUUCUUUCAGCGGGGAGGCGUUACCCACAGAAGAAGCACCGGCUAACUACGUGCCAGCCGCCGCGGUAAUUC
rnacentral:rRNA from 1 species